rnacentral:rRNA from 1 species
ACCCUCCAAGCCUGAACACUCUCCUGUGACCGAUAGCGGACAAGUACCGUGAGGGAAAGGUGAAAAGCACCCCGGGAGGGGAGUGAAACAGUACCUGAAACCGUGCGCCCACGAGCAGUCGGAGCACCUUUAUGGUGUGACGGCGUGCCUUUUGUAGAAUGAGCCAGCGAGUCGCUGGCGCGGGGCGAGGUUAACCGAAAGGGAGCCGGAGCGAAAGCGAGCCUUAACAGGGCGACUUGAGUCCCGCGCCGCGGACGCGAAGCCGGGUGAGCUAUCCGUGGGCAGGCUGAAGCGGGGGUAAGACCCCGUGGAGGGCCGAACGCACGUCGGUUGAAAACGGCGGCGAUGACCUGCGGAUAGGGGUGAAAGGCCAAUCAAACCCGGAGAUAUCUCGUUCUCCCCGAAAUAGCUUUAGGGCUAGCGUCGCGCGUUCACCGCCGGAGGUAGAGCACCGGAUGGACGAGGGGGCUUCGCCGCCUACCGAAUCCAACCGAACUCCGAAUGCCGGCGGCCCAGAGCGCGGCAGUCAGAGCAUGUGGGCUAAGCUGUGUGCUCGAGAGGGAAACAGCCCGGACCGCCCGCUAAGGUCCCCAAGUUCCAGCCGAGUGGCAAAGGAUGUGCGUCCGCCCAGACAACCAGGAUGUUGGCUUAGAAGCAGCCAUCCAUUCAAAGAGUGCGUAACAGCUCACUGGUCGAGUGGACAUGCGCCGACAAUACACGGGGCUAAGCUGGACACCGAAGCGGCGGGAUUUUAAUUCAUUAGAAUCGGUAGGGGAGCUUCCCAUGGGCGGAGAAGCCGGAGGGCGACCGACGGUGGAGCGCAUGGGAGUGAGAAUGCUGGCAUGAGUAGCGAGAGACGAGAGAGUAACUCGUCCGCCGUGAACCCGAGGUUUCCUGGGCAAGGCUAAUCCUCCCAGGGUCAGUCGGGGGCUAAGGCGAGGCCGGUAGGCGUAGCCGACGCGCAGCAGGCAGACAUUCCUGCACCGCGCACGCGGCGCUACGACCGACGGGGCGACGGAUGGGGGUGGCUCGGCGGGGUUCUGGACGUCCCCGUGAUGGAGCGCGGCCCGCGGACCAGGGAAAUCCGGUCCGCACGAAGGGCGAGGCUCCGGACGAAGCGACUGAGCGAAGCGAGUGAGCCCGAGGUCCCUAGAAAAACCCCUAGGCAGGCGCGUGCGCGCCCGUACCGCAAACCGACACAGGUGGGUGGGUAGAACAUACCGAGGCGAUCGGGUCAACCAUGGUCAAGGAACUCGGCACAAUGGCCCCGUAACUUCGGGAGAAGGGGUGCCCGCGCGUACGUGAACGGACUUGCUCCGGGAGCGGAGGCGGGCCGCAGUGGAGAGGCCCAAGCGACUGUUUACCAAAAACACAGGACUCUGCAGAAGCCGCAAGGCGACGUAUAGGGUCUGACGCCUGCCCGGUGCCGGAAGGUCACGCGGAGGAGUUAGCCGAUUCGGCGAAGCCCCGAAGCCAAGCCCCGGUAAACGGCGGCCGUAACUAUAACGGUCCUAAGGUAGCGAAAUUCCUUGUCGGGU